CUCGAGGGAAUUCUCAGAUCCGCAGGUGCCAGGUGUCUGCUGGACGGAGGGGACUCGGCGCAAACGAGGGGCCAGAGUCACGAGGCCACCCAAGAGCUCUCCUGUGCGUGUCCAGCGACAGCCUAGUUGUAGGCAGUGACCUUAUUCAGCAAGACCCGAGCUUGAGGACCAUGAGGAUGGAGUCAUCGCGAAGGCGCCCCGUCGUAAAACAGCGCCACGUCCUUGUAAAUGAGGAGGGGUGGGCACAGUGUCCACUUUCCCAAUUUGAGACCGCUGUCCUGUUUCUUAGAGAGAACAGAUAAUGUACAGAAAACCCUCAAAGGGAGGAGCAAAUUUGUUUCAGAAUUUAUCGAUGGCUCAUAAAAACAAGUUCAGAGAGAUUUUGAUGCACAGCUACAGACUGAGCUGAGUUACUGUGCAUUAAAAAUGGAAAUCUUUAUUUUUUUUCCUCUCUAUUUUUUAAGAAAUCUUGUUGCAAGGUCAUUAAUCACAUUAUCCAUUCUACCAGAAACAAAUGGAUUUGUCACUUGUGCACAGAAGCAGAGGUUGAUUCUGAAAACAAAUUGUAUCAAAAUAAAUGAAAUUAUUAUGAUAAUAUAAAAUAGACUGCAGUGAUUAAUCUCUAGAAACCAAAUUCUGACCUGCUUUGCACUUCAAACAAUAGCUUCUGUUAUGUAAAUAGUUGUGGGGUUUUCAAGGACAAUGUUGCUAAAUUGUAAGAAAAGUUCUAUUCAUGAGAAGCUCUUCAAGGAUAAACAUUAAGAGACCGGAAACUUGGUCUAGCCACUAUCCAAAGCAGAGGACAAUGGAAGUAACUGAUUCGGAUUCCCUCUAAAUCCAUGGCCUUCCCUGCUCCCCUGAAUUCCAGCGUUCAGAACUGCACCGAGCGGUUUUAGAAGGGUAUUCUUGUCAGAGUGAUGGAAAGCUGACUGACACAAAGUGACCAAGGAGGGGGACACAGGGCUGGACUGAAGAGAGUGUGUUGAUGUGGAAACUCUGUGUGUGUGUGCUGCAUUGGACACCAUGGCAAAGAUCCCGGAGGAGGUGCGAACAGGGGUCUAGGAUGGCCCUUGGAAGCUUGGAGAAGGCAAGGACCCACGUGAAGUGAAUAUAGACGUCAGAACCACAGUGGCACAUGUGAAAGGAUCCACAGCUCAAAAGUGGGUACUCCCCAGCAGACUCCCUGCCAGCAGAGACCCCCAACCAAAACCAGUGAUGUUUAAGUAUGUAGGAAGAUAGAUGCAUUUUAAUAGCUCAGAAUUAAUUUGCUUCUCUUUUUAUUUUUUUGGAAAGUGGUUAAUUUACAGAAAUUAUCCAUCUUAGUUCACUUGAGGAAAAAUGCCCCCAUCCAUUUUUUUUUUUUCCUGACUCACAACAAUUUUGAAUGUGAAGUAUUUCUGAAAGGAAGUUUUCUUUCCUAAGAGGUUUUAGUAAGCAGAUUGUUCAAUUUUUCUUUUUCUGAGAAAGCUCUCUGCCACAUCUUUCUUGAGAAUAAAUUUGCUUAAUUCUUACCAUCCUGGCUGGUGAAAAGAUUUACCUUGGAUAGCAUUGCUGCUUGGUUUUCAUGAUUCAGUUUUUCUGGCUGGGUCUUGUCAUUCCUUUCCUUGUAAUUUUCCUUGGUAUGCAGUGUGAAUCACAUGCAAAGCUCUUUUUUUUUAAAAAAAAAAUCAUUUUCUAUUAGUUGGGCUUCUGAGUAAUGUUUUUAUUUUGGCAGGUGAUGUUUAAGACCACAUCAAAUAAUAGUGCCAACACAACACAUUGAUAAUCCAUGGGGCACCAUUUUAAGGGCUUCCUAUCACCAGCUUAUUACAUCUCCGCUUCAGUCUCAUCUAUGGAGUUCCCAUCCUACAGUUGAAGAAGCUGAAAGAUGAAGGAAGAUGUCUUAGGCAUAAGAUGGCCGUGUCCUGAGCUGCUUUCCUCCACCAUGAAGUUGGCCCACCAUGAACUGCACUUCUGAAACCAUGAGCCAAAAUAAACUUUUCCUCUUCUAGGUUAUUUAUGUCAGGUCUUUUGGUCCCAGUGACACAAAGCUGACUAAAACAGAAGAUAAACUGGGGGCUUCAUUUCCAGAGCCACCGAAGCCACCUACCCUGCGCUUGAGAUGACGGGCAGCUUAGUCUUUCUCCAGGCAGCUCUAGUCAGAGGGGCAUGGUGCCAACAGGUCUGAAGGUUUGGGACUUAGAAGUGUCCCAACUUCAUUUCCUGCCCCCAACAAAUAACCAAGUAGGAAAGGAAAUUUAGGUAAACUGAAUCUAGUCCCGCCCCGGAAGAAAGUUGGUUUUCAUCCUGGGACUCAGGUCCCAUCUAUAAAACGAGAGUGCAGACCAGGUCGGGGAUGGUGUAUCGGUGACGUGAGUCAGUUAAUGCCCACAGAUGUGGUUUGUUUUUAGGCAACUGUGUGCUGGGGUGUUUUGAAUUUGAGUUCCUUUCAGAGGGCCAGACUUGGACUCUUCAGCAGGUCUUAAGCAAGUCUGAUUUGAACAUUGAUAUGCUCGUCUGGCCCAUGUAGGCUUCGAGGUUGCAAAUCUGGGGUUAAUUUAUCUCUGAGUCCAAUAUCAAUUGUGUUUAUUGCCCCCUGCCAGAACUGUGCACCAAGGGAAUGCAGGAUCUAGGAGGGCAGGAUGGCAGAGAGAACAGGAGUGAUUCUGGUGGCCCUGCGUGUCCUGGAUGAGUGGAUGCUUGGCUGGCCUUGCUCUGGACUGUCCACUCCAAGGUGCAAAGGAAGACUUCCCUUCCUAUUGUCCCCUUGCACCGACUUGUUCCAUGCCCAGCUCUGUGACAGACAUAAUCAGGACUGGUAUUAUCUCUCAAGCAAUAUGACAUUUCAAAACACCCAGGCAUCAGGUGGACUGAGAUAAUGUCAGGGAAACUCAAUAGGGUUCUCUCAGGCCCUAAUGAGAAAUACAAAGGAACAAAUAAGAGAGACUUUCUAUAGAGCCUUUCCCUGAGUGCAGGAGGGGCGGGUGGGGGAAGAAGAAACCCAUCAGUAUUAAGGGCCUUUUUGAGAGGAGCUAGUGUUAUCUGUCUGCUGUGGGAGCCAGGACUCCUUUCUUGGUGGAUUUCUUCAUAUGAGCUUAGGAAAAACAUUUCCAGCCAAGAUGGAAUUAGAUCUGCAAAUGGCAGUGUGCAUGUGUCCCCCUGGCAGAAGAGCCCGUAAAUGAAUUCCGUUCCUUUUGUUUUGGCUCUCAGCUAGAACACCCUGUCUAAAUUAAUGUUUUUAACAGCAUUACUUAAGCCCUACCAACAUUUUACAAAGAUCUCCUUAAGGUCGGAACAUUUUUAAUUGUUCAUUUCCACAAAACUUCUCUGGCUCCCAGCAGGAUGAAGACAUGUGAAGGGAAGCAGAAUCUUUCAAGAUAGAACACAUGAGCUGAUGUCUUUAAAAAGUUAUUACAUAUUUUUACAUUAUUGUGACAUAAAGUACUUAAGAAACCAAGGCUCCUUGAUAAGCUGCUUUAUUCUUUUUUUAUAAACCAUGUAGCUGUGAGCCUUAUGGCUUGUACGUACAUAGAAGGCACUCAGCGAAUGUAAGCUAAAUUGGGUUUAUCAAAUAUUUAUUAAGUCUUCUACAUUUAAUUAUGUAGUUUUUGCUAGAAGAGGAAUCCUACUCUAAUAGCUGCAUGCCAAUGCAGGGUUUGCAGGGUAGACUACUUCCCUUGCUUAAUUUAUCCCAAAUAGCUUGAAAAAAAAUAUGAAAUAUGCUGUCAUUAACAUACGUCAUCAUGAACUAGACCUGGGCCGAUCAUUUUUCUUACUUAGUGCAACUUGCGCGUGGUUUACAGUCCAGCUGGCAGAAUGCUGGGAGAGAUUUUUAAAAUAGAUUUCUCCUUAAUUAUCAAACAACGUUAGCCUGAUCCUUCACAUCCCGGCCAUCUCAGACGGAGCUCAAAAUAAGUUUGUGAAGAGUGCAAAGCAAGAGAAAAAAAAAAAAAAAAGAGGAAGGAAGAAAAGAAACUCACUGUGUAGCCAACUGCGUAAAGAGGAAAUCCAUUCCCACUUGUCUGCGUUUGAUUGAACCUGCGUGAACUGCCAAUGCCACACACCCGGAGGAGCAGGAUUAAAGACCUACAGGAGACGUUUUAUAGAUCUUCUUAGACAGGUGCUUUUCACACCUCUGCAGUUUAUCCAAGGCUCACUUCACAGAGACUUGAAGGAAGCUCUGCCCUUCCUAAGGUAUAGGAAGUGAAAAAAACCCAGAGUUGAAAAAUGAGAGACUCAGGUUCUGACUCAGGAUUGUGCAAAUGACAGACAGAAGGGAGACGGCAAGUCUCUGCUUAUCAAACCCUCUACCCCAGGUACUUACCACGCGCAGGGGAAAUCACCUUGGCUCACCCUCUCACUCACUGGUUUACUUGUUGACUCUGGCUGGUUUGGAUGGGGUGCCUACCAUGUACGAGACUCUCUGUGUGAGAAAUCUCUGGCAGGACUGUUUACCUGACUCCCUGCCCUAGAGGGUGAUGCACAAGUGUGACCCGAGUGAUUACUCUUAUUGAUCCACCUUAUUGAUCUUGUGUAUUUGGAAGUACAAGGAUCCUUAACCAGUGUGCCCUGUCGGCCGACAGACUUUAGCUGAGUGUGAGUCGGUAAACCAAUAGGUAGAAAUCUCACUUGGACCAAAAAUAACUGUGAUUACAACUCUUUUUUUAAAUCCUUAAAUUCAAGCAGGAAAUUGCUUUGAACUCAAUUGUAGUUCACCCUCAUAAUCAUCUAUUGAAGCCCUAACCACCCUUGUGACUGUAUUUGGAGGCUGGGCUGUUGGGGACGUUGAGGAGAUUAAGUGAGGUGAUAAAGGUGGGACCCUUAAUUCAA